UACGGGGGGGGCAAGCGUUGUUCGGAAUCAUUGGGCGUAAAGGGUGCGUAGGCGGCGCGGUAAGUCGGGUGUGAAAUCUCGGAGCUUAACUCCGAAACUGCAUUCGAUACUGCCGUGCUUGAGGACUGGAGAGGAGACUGGAAUUUACGGUGUAGCGGUGAAAUGCGUAGAUAUCGUAAGGAAGACCAGUGGCGAAGGCGGGUCUCUGGGACGGUACUGACGCUGAGACGCGAAAGCGUGGGGAGCAAACAGG
rnacentral:rRNA from 1 species